ACUGCAAAGGCUUUCAACAACAUUAUGUUGUUUGAUAAAUAGACAAUAAAAACAGAUGAUCAAUAGUUUCUGAAGAAUUACCAUUAAAUGCACAAUCCGAAUUAGAGCUGCAAAUCCCAUCAAAACUUCAGAAUUAUAAGGUGAGAGUUAGAACAAAUGAACCUCCGCUGAUGUUCAGUAUCUAUCGGUUGAGUGGUUGAGUUAGUAGAUUGUUCCUC
rnacentral:lncRNA from 1 species